GACGAACGCUGGCGGCGUGCCUAAUACAUGCAAGUAGAACGCAGUUGCGAACGGGUGAGUAACGCGUAGGUAACUGCAUGGUAGCGGGGGAUAACUAUUGGAACCGGUAGCUACUACCGAAUACUACCAGAUGGACCUGCGUUGUAUUAGCUAGUUGGUGGGGUAACGGCUCACCAAGGCAACGAUACAUAACAGACCUGAGAGGGUGAGCGGUCACAAUGAAACGUAGACACGUCCCAGAGGCCUACGGAAGGAAGCAGUAGGAAAUCUUCGGCAAUGGACGGAAGUCUGUCCGAGCAACGCCGCGUGAGUGAAGAAGGUUUUCGGAUCGUAAAGCUCUGUUGUAAGAGAAGCGUUAUCUGACCAGAAAGGGACGGCUGACUACGUGCCAGCAGCCGCAGUAAUAC
rnacentral:rRNA from 1 species